CCAUCGAAAUCAUUCAGCUAUAUAUUCAGCUAUAAAUAUUCACAUUUGAAUCUAUCGUUUCAAGAAUUCCUGAAAUUUAACUGUAUAAAGAACCUUUUCAUGAUGCAGAAGUUUUAUAUCGGAGUACUGGUUUUAGCGGUGUGCGCAGUCAUGCUUUUGCAAGAGACAGAAGCAAUCGCUCCGUGUCGAUGCCGAUUCUCUUGUAGGAGUUGGGAGAAACAAGCUGGGAAGUGCGGUGGUUUGAAAAGCAAGAAAUGUUGUCCCAAAUCUCCCUGUAUGUGUCGGCGAUUCUGCCGUCACUGGGAAAAGAAAUCUGGAACAUGUGCUGGCUUCUUUAAAAAUAACUGUUGUCCAAAGUAAUAUUUUGGAUGCAGUUUUACAAUUAUUUUCUAGCAAUAUCAAAACCAUAUAAAAUGUCUUUACAGAAUCAGAUAUUGAAAUGUUCAUUCACCCGGGAAGAAUAUCCUUGCUGUGAUUUUUUUAUUAAACAUGGUAUUUCAAGUGUCUAUAACUUUGAUAUGUAUCAAGGUGUGAUUCACCGAUGAUGAAUGUUUUGUACGAUAUUAUUAGUAAAAUAUUUCACAUGCUGAAUAAAAAAAAAAGCAUUAUAAAAAACUGAAAAUUUAAGGCUGUUAAAUAUAUAUUUUUAAUUGUUACAGGAAAUGUCUUUUGCAAUUUGUUCACCUCAUUUAUAUCUUUCGUUUUUAAUUUUCCGUUCAUAAUGCAUAUGUAAUUAGCUUGAUAUAUAUUAAACAUGAAAAUCUCAA
rnacentral:lncRNA from 1 species